UACAGAGGGUGCGAGCGUUAAUCGGAAUUACUGGGCGUAAAGCGUGCGUAGACGGUAGCGUAAGUCAGAUGUGAAAGCCCCGGGCUCAACCUGGGAAUUGCAUUUGAGACUGCUCUGCUCGGGUGCGGAAGAGGGAAGCGGAAUUUCCGGUGUAGCGGUGAAAUGCGUAGAUAUCAAGAGGAACACCAGUGGCGAAGGCGAGUCCCUGGACAACUUCUGACGCUGAGGCACGAAAGCUAGGGGAGCAAACAGG
rnacentral:rRNA from 1 species